CUUCCGGUAGGGGUGGACCUGCGGAAGGAUCAUUAAAGAAAUUUAAUAAUUUUGAUAUUGGAUUUUUUUGUUUUGGCAAGAGCGUGAGAGCUUUUACUGGGCAAGAAGACAAGAGAUGGAGAGUCCAGCCGGGCCUGCGCUUAAGUGCGCGGUCUUGCUAGGCUUGCAAAUUUCUUUCUUGCUAUUCCAAACAGUGAGACUUCUCUGUUUUUGUUAUAGGACAAUUAAAACCGUUUCAAUACAACACACUGUGGAGUUUUUAUACUUUUGCAACUUUUUCUUUGGGCUUCGAGCAAUCGAGCCCAGAGGUAACAAACACAAACAAUUUUAUUUAUUCAUUAAAUUUUUGUCAAAAACAAGAAUUUUCGUAACUGGAAAUUUUAAAAAUAAUUAAAAACUUUCAACAACGGAUCUCUUGGUUCUCGCAUCGAUGAAGAACGCAGCGAAAUGCGAUACGUAAUGUGAAUUGCAGAAUUCCGUGAAUCAUCGAAUCUUUGAACGCACAUUGCGCCCCUUGGUAUUCCAGGGGGCAUGCCUGUUUGAGCGUCAUUUCCUUCUCAAACAUUCUGUUUGGUAGUGAGUGAUACUCUCUGGAGUUAACUUGAAAUUGCUGGCCUUUUCAUUGGAUGUUUUUUUUCCAAAGAGAGGUUUCUCUGCGUGCUUGAGGUAUAAUGCAAGUACGGUCGUUUUAGGUUUUACCAACUGCGGCUAAUCUUUUUUGUACUGAGCGUAUUGAAACGUUAUCGAUAAGAAGAGAGCGUCUAGGCGAACAAUGUUCUUAAAGUUUGACCUCAAAUCAGGUAGGAGUACCCGCUGAACUUAAGCAUAGCAAUAAAGCGGAAGAAA
rnacentral:rRNA from 1 species